rnacentral:rRNA from 1 species
UACGAAGGGUGCAAGCGUUACUCGGAAUUACUGGGCGUAAAGCGUGCGUAGGUGGUUUGUUAAGUCUGUUGUGAAAGCCCCGGGCUCAACCUGGGAAUGGCAAUGGAUACUGGCAGGCUAGAGUGCGGUAGGGGAGAUUGGAAUUCCUGGUGUAGCGGUGGAAUGCGCAGAUAUCAGGAGGAACACCGGUGGCGAAGGCGGGUCUCUGGGCCGGUACCGACGCUGAGGAGCGAAAGCGUGGGGAGCGAACAGG